CUGGAACAGAGAGAGUGUCAGAGGCAAGGAGGUGUUGGUGAAGGAGCAUCUUCUUCUUCAGCCUCCACCUGACAAGCGCUGAACUUGAGGUACAGCUGAGGUACGUCUGAGCAGUGGGUGUCAGUGUCGUCACAUCAGCAUCCCUCCUCCCAGUGACUAAACCACUCUGGAAGAAGUAUUGCUGCAGUGCAGUCUUCACCUGAACCAGUGAGGUUAAGACGCCGCAAAGAAACACAAUGAAGAACUGCGAACCGAGAAGAAGACUCAGAAAGCACAGACAAGCCAUGCUGCGAAGUAGCCUGCAGCCAGAAGAGCCUCCAUGAGGAUCCACAAGAAGGUGAUGACUGAGGCAAGGACAUUGCACAGAAUAUACAUAUUUAUACACUUCUCCAUAAAGGGGUUUCCUGAUACAAUUUUGUCACUUCUGGUACGAUAUCAAUAUUGGAGUUUUGAGCCGAUUAGGGUUUUCCUGAUACCAAUAUUUUGGUACCGGUACUUUGAUACUUUUUAAAAUAAAUGGGACCACAAAAAAUGUCAUUAUUAUCUUUUUUUUUUACAGAAAAUCUUCUGAUACAUUGCACAUAUGUUUCUUAUUGCAAACAAAAAAAAUUGCCAUUAAAAACAGUGAACAUACUAAACAACUUGUCCUUUAGUAGUAAGUAAGCAAAUGGAUUACAGAAGCUCCUAAUUUGGCUGCUGACAUAUGCAGUAACAUAUUGUCAUUUACAAAUAUUUUGGAUGGAUUAUUUAGUCAAAAUAUGACAAGCGGUAAAAAAUAGAUGGAUGGAUUAUUUGUCCACUUAUUCAUUUACUGUUAACACCUGCUUACUUGCUGUUUUAGUAUAUCUACACUUCUGUUGAAAUGUAAUAAUCACUUAUUCUUCUGUUUUUUGGAUACUUUACAUAGGUUUUGGGUGAUUCUCCAAAUGUAGGUACCGAUUCAAUACCAAGUAGUAACAGGGUCAUACAUUGGUCAUUACAGGUACUUUUCAAAGGCAGUAGAGUACCUGUUUUAAUUAUUUAGUACUGCAGUACUUUAUUAGUAUUUGUAUACUUUGCAACCCUAAUAACGAUAUUGACCCGAUAUGCAGGAAUCAUACAUACUUGUAUUAUUUUGUAAUGUGGAUUGGUAAAAUAAUUUUGAUCAGGUGAAAUAUUCAAACAGAGAACAAUGGUAGGAAUAUGAAAAACAAUAACCUAUGUAAUAUUAACCACCUGGACUGGACAUAUGCUGUCUUUAAGUUGAAGUGGAGUGGUAAUUGUUUUUGUCGACACCCAGUGGCCACAAUAAAUACUGAAGUUAAGCUCAUGACGCAGUAAAUUGAAUGAUGCGGACACGUUCGUUGCUGGAUUCUUUCUAACACGUCUUUGCUUUGUAAACUUUGUAUGUGUAAGUAAUACGCAACUAUAGUUAUUUGGUACUUGUUUAUACUGACUAAUGUGAUGUUUUAGACUGCAAUAUUGUUCAACCAGUCUUUGGUGAAUUAAUGUCUGUUUUUAGUACAAAAUAAUCCUCCAUGGGACCAAAGAAAAGACUUUGAUAAAGAUGCUGAGAAACACUCUGAAUUUGAGAAAUAACGGGUAUUAAAGUAUGAUGUCUCUUUCCUACUCUCUCUUUACUCAUAGCCAACAAGAAUGUUCAAUAAAAGUAAAAAAUUAUGU